AUUGAACGCUGGCGGCAGGCCUAACACAUGCAAGUCGAGCGGAGCGGCGGACGGGUGCGUAAUGCCUAGGAAUCUGCCUGGUAGUGGGGGAUAACGUCCGGAAACGGGCGCUAAUACCGCAUACUAUCAGAUGAGCCUAGGUCGGCUUAGCUAGUUGGUGGGGUAAAGGCUCACCAAGGCGACGAUCCCUAGCUGGUCUGAGAGGAUGACCAGCCACACUGGAACUGAGAAACGGUCCGGACUCCUACGGGAGGCAGCAGUGGGGAAUAUUGCACUAUGGGCGCAAGCCUGGUGCAGCCAUGCCGCGUGUGUGAAGAAGGUCUUCGGAUUGUAAAGCACUUGAAGUUGGGAGGCGGUACCAACAGAAUAAGCACCGGCUAACUUCGUGCCAGCAGCCGCGGUAAUAC
rnacentral:rRNA from 1 species